rnacentral:rRNA from 1 species
ACGGCUCAGUAACACGUGGAUAACCUGCCCAAGGGUUCGGGAUAACCCCGGGAAACUGGGGAUAAUACCGGAUGGAUCACUAGUGCUGGAAUGCUUGGUGGUUUAAAGGUAACGCCUUUGGAUGGGUCUGCGGCGGAUUAGGUUGACGCCGGUGUAACGUACCGGCGUGCCUGUAAUCCGUACGGGUUGUGGGAGCAAGAGCCCGGAGAUGGAUUCUGAGACACGAAUCCAGGCCCUACGGGGCGCAGCAGGCGCGAAAACUCUACAAUGCAGGCAACUGCGAUAGGGGGACAUCGAGUGGCAUCCACCUUGGGUGCCUGUCCAACCGUCUAAAAAACGGUUGUUAGCAAGGGCCGGGUAAGACCGGUGCCAGCCGCCGCGGUAAUACCGGCGGCUCGAGUGGUGGCCGAUAUUAUUGAGUCUAAAGGGUCCGUAGCCGGCUUUGCAAGUCCCCUGGGAAAUCCAGCGGCUUAACCGUUGGGCUUUCAUGGGAUACUACAUUGCUUGGGACUGGGAGAGGUAGGAGGUACUCGGGGGGUAGGGGUGAAAUCCUGUAAUCCUCCGGGGACCACCGGUGGCGAAGGCGUCCUACCAGAACAGGUCCGACGGUGAGGGACGAAAGCUAGGGGCACGAACCGGAUUAGAUACCCGGGUAGUCCUAGCCGUAAACGAUGCCCGCUAGGUGUCACGACGGUCGUGAAUCGUCGUGGUGCCGUAGGGAAGCCGCGAAGCGGGCCACUUGGGAAGUGCGGCCGCAAGGCUGAAACUUAAAGGAAUUGGCGGGGGAGCAC